UAUAAUCAACGUCCUCCCAUUAUAUUUUUAGCAAGUACAAGUAAUGAAAGCGUGAGAAGACGUUUAUUGGAAACGGAAAAUAAUCGGUAUAGGGAGCAAAAUACAAUAGAUGACAACGAUAUGUCAAAUGAAGACGAAAUUGUCGCAGUACAGUUAAAUAAUAAGCAAGUGAAAAUAAAACGGAUAAAGGAUGCUUUGAACUUUGAAGAUUCUUAUGAUAUUCAUAAGCGUUAUGAUAAAAUAUCAAAUACAAGAGUAAGACAUUUGUUUAUUUAUUUUCCUUAUAUGUAAAACUAUUACAUUGGCCUUCUCUACUGUGUGUACUACUUUUAUUAAUUAUGGUAGCCUUGUUAUUUUCAAAAUAUAUAUUUUUAACAGAUAUACUUAGGAGAAAACAUAUCGGUUAGUCAACUGUCUUGGGAAAUGACAAAACUGCGUAGAAAGCCUUCUUUGUUUUUGCAUGAUGUAUUGCUUUACAUUUGGCCAUACAAUAUUCUUAAAAAUAGAUGCCUUGACGAAAACAAAACGUAUUAUAAGCCAUCUAGUGGCACAGUUAAAGAACUUAGUCCGCGGAAACUAUCUUUAGCAUUAAGUAUAUAAACAUUUUUCUUUAUACCAUCCCAUUAUCUAUUUAUUAUGUUUUAAUACUUUCAUUGAUUGUUUUGUAGGUUUGUAUAAUGACCACCUGAUUGAGUUGAAUAUGAAUGAUACAAUAAGAUUUGAACAUUUGAAUGAUUCGUUCAAAAUGAUUACAAUAAAAAUAAGAGAUGUCAGAAAGAAAUAUGCAUACGGAUCAGAGAGAGAACAAUAUGAAAGAAGAGUUGAAACGGACAAUUAAAAUAGAUGUGAUAUAGCAGCAACAAAAUGUGUUGACGACUGGGUGGUCGCUCCAACGAAACGGGAGUUAUACUUCUUAUUUUAUUUAUCUCUUAGAAGUCACACAUUUUUUUUCGAACGAAUCAGUCACACUGGGUCUAUGUGACCCCAGCAAUUU